GACGAACGCUGGCGGCGUGCCUAACACAUGCAAGUCGAACGGAGAAUUUAGCAAUAGAUUCUUAGUGGCGAACGGGUGAGUAACGCGUAGACAACCUGCCUUUUAGAUGGGGACAACACCGCGAAAGUGGUGCUAAUACCGAAUGUUGUAUUUUGAUCGCAUGAUCGAGAUACUAAAGAUGGCCUCUAUUUAUAAGCUAUCACUAAAAGAUGGGUCUGCGUCUGAUUAGCUAGUUGGUGAGGUAAUGGCUCACCAAGGCGACGAUCAGUAGCCGGUCUGAGAGGAUGGACGGCCACACUGGGACUGAGACACGGCCCAGACUCCUACGGGAGGCAGCAGUGGGGAAUCUUCCGCAAUGGACGAAAGUCUGAUGGAGCAACGCCGCGUGAGCGAUGAAGGCCUUCGGGUCGUAAAGCUCUGUUGUUAGGGAAGAACAAGUACCGGAGUAACUGCCGGUACCUUGACGGUACCUAACCAGAAAGCCACGGCUAACUACGUGCCAGCCGCCGCGGUAACAC
rnacentral:rRNA from 1 species